rnacentral:lncRNA from 1 species
GCGGAGACAAGUUCAAAAAAGUGUAUAAUAUCAUAAUAUCUCCAAUUUUAUUAUAUUGAUCGACACGUUGAGAGGAUUUGUGAGGGAAAAUAAACCCCAAUGAAGAGAAUGUCACGAGAAGGCACGACCUGUUGAACCUCCGUCAUCAUUUAAACGCUUUAUUAGGUGUUUUUUUUUUUUUUUUUUUUUUUUCGUCGAGUUUGCGAUCUGACUGCAGUCCGGUCGGUCUCGAGAGGGAGGCGCGAGACGGGCGCUAGUUGAGUUGAGUCGAGUUGAAGCGUCGAGGCGAGGCGAGGCGGGGGCGGGGAGCGCGCGGUGCGCUCUCGCGCCAAUGAGGGCAUCCCGGGCUUGGCAGGAACGCGUCCACGUGACCGUGGAGAGCACCGACACACGCCGGCGGGGCUCCUUCUCAAACACACCGCCGACAGGAGGAGAAGCGCGAAGGGGAGCGAGCGACAGAGAAGACGUCCACGGUGACACACACUCGUCCACACACCUCCUCGACGUGCAGAAGAUGGACGGCUACACGCGCACCGAAGACGAGCUCUUCCCCUCAUGCCUGCUCACCUCCACCUGGGAGAACCCCCACCACGAGCAGAGCAAAGUCUUCGGAGACGCGAGGAUCGGUCGGGGCCGGGGGCGCCUGACACGGCUCCACUUUCGCAGCGCGAGCUCGUUCGUCUGGCCCGAGAAGGACCCGAUGAGCCCGCUUCUCCGUGUCCUUCCACGAGCUGAAAAGGGGAACUCGGUUGAAAGGGAAUGCUCAUUUCCUGAGAUGUUCUCACCAGUUAGAAGCGGUGUAUCAGGGCUGUUCAACUGCCAUCCUGGGGGCCCUGUCCCUGGUCCAGGGCAGUUUUAUUCCAGCCAGGCGUCCUGAGUCCCUCCGACGGGGCUUUGUGUGAGUUCCUCCUGCCGAACAGAAGCUUGGAAAACCUGCUAGACUUGAUUCUCCAGGACAAGAAGUUGAAUAACUGUGAUAUGCACCACAAGUGUCUCACCCGCA